GUUGUGAAAGCAACCUGACGGUACCAUACGAAUAAGGACCGGCUAAUUCCGUGCCAGCAGCCGCGGUAAUACGGAAGGUCCAGGCGUUAUCCGGAUUUAUGGGUUUAAAGGGAGCGUAGGCUGGAGAUUAAGUGUGUUGUGAAAUGUAGACGCUCAACGUCUGAAUUGCAGCGCAUACUGGUUUCCUUGAGUACGCACAACGUUGGCGGAAUUCGUCGUGUAGCGGUGAAAUGCUUAGAUAUGACGAAGAACUCCGAUUGCGAAGGCAGCUGACGGGAGCGCAACUGACGCUUAAGCUCGAAGGUGCGGGUAUCAAACAGGAUUAGAUACCCUGGUAGUCCGCACAGUAAACGAUGGAUGCCCGCUGUUGGUACCUGGUAUCAGCGGCGUCGACGCGGCCG
rnacentral:rRNA from 1 species